rnacentral:rRNA from 1 species
CCUACGGGAGGCAGCAGUGAGGAAUAUUGGACAAUGGGCGCAAGCCUGAUCCAGCCAUGCCGCGUGCAGGAAGACGCAUCUAUGGUGUGUAAACUGCUUUUGUACGGGAAGAAACACUCCCUCGUGAGGGAGCUUGACGGUACCGUAAGAAUAAGGAUCGGCUAACUCCGUGCCAGCAGCCGCGGUAAUACGGAGGAUCCAAGCGUUAUCCGGAAUCAUUGGGUUUAAAGGGUCCGUAGGCGGUUUAAUAAGUCAGUGGUGAAAGCCCAUCGCUCAACGAUGGAACGGCCAUUGAUACUGUUAGACUUGAAUUACUAGGAAGUAACUAGAAUAUGUAGUGUAGCGGUGAAAUGCUUAGAUAUUACAUGGAAUACCAAUUGCGAAGGCAGGUUACUACUAGUGGAUUGACGCUGAUGGACGAAAGCGUGGGGAGCGAACAGGAUUAGAUACCCUGGUAGUCCACGCCGUAAACGAUGGAUACUAGCUGUUGGGCGCAAGUUCAGUGGCUAAGCGAAAGUGAUAAGUAUCCCACCUGGGGAGUACGUUCGCAAGAAUGAAACUUAAAUGAAAUUGACGGNUGNGAGNGCGAGACGACGACGAGGGAGGAGG